ACACUCUGGUUUUUCUUCAAAGCGAAUAAGUCUUUCACUUUUUACUAAAGAUUUCUAUGGAGAGAAACAACUCUGAGUGUUUAACAAAUUUCUUGAGGCCUUGCCUUGGCAGGGCU